UGUUCCUACGGGGGGCAGCAGUAGGGAAUCUUCCACAAUGGACGAAAGUCUGAUGGAGCAACGCCGCGUGAGUGAAGAAGGGUUUCGGCUCGUAAAGCUCUGUUGGUAGUGAAGAAAGAUAGAGGUAGUAACUGGCCUUUAUUUGACGGUAAUUACUUAGAAAGUCAAGGCUAAAUACGUGCCAGCAGCCGCGGUAAUAAGUAGGUGGCAAGCGUUGUUCGGAUUUAUUGGGCGUAAAGCG
rnacentral:rRNA from 1 species